rnacentral:rRNA from 1 species
GGACCUGACUGCUAUCGGAUUGAUACUAAGCCAUGUGAGUCAUUGUAGCAAUACAAGGCAGACGGCUCAGUAACACGUAGCCAAUCUACCCUAUGGACGGGGAUAACCUCGGGAAACUGAGGAUAAACCCCGAUAGAUCAUUAUGCCUGGAAUGGUUAAUGGUUCAAAUGAUUCGUCGCCGUAGGAUGGGACUGCGGCCUAUCAGCUUGUUGGCGAGGUAAUGGCCCACCAAGGCUAUUACAGGUACGGGCUCUGAGAGGAGAAGCCCGGAGAUGGGUACUGAGACACGGACCCAGGCCCUAUGGGGCGCAGCAGGCGAGAAACCUUUGCAAUGUGCGCAAGCACGACAAGGUUAAUCCGAGUGUUUCCUGCUAAAGGAAUCUUUUGUUAGUCCUAAAAACACUAGCGAAUAAGGGGUGGGCAAGUUCUGGUGU